rnacentral:misc_RNA from 1 species
CGCACAUUGCGCCCCCUGGCAUUCCGGGGGGCAUGCCCGUUCGAGCGUCAUAUAACAAAUCUCACGCCUGGCGUGGUAAUGGGCCCUGUGGACUAGCAGGCCUUAAAUCCGGGUGGCUUAUUAAUUAGUAAACGGGGAGUCCUGUAGCAUGGUGCCGCAAAUAUCGACAAAUAUAUGCAGCACGCAGUUUGUACACCCUGCCACUUUUAACGCGUUCGCGCAGUGUCGGGAGACCGAACACACACAAGUUUGACCUCGGAUCGGGUAGGAAUACCCGCUGAACUUAA